rnacentral:rRNA from 1 species
GUGAGGAAUAUUGCGCAAUGGAGGCAACUCUGACGCAGCCAUGCCGCGUGCAGGAAGAAGGCGCUACGCGUUGUAAACUGCUUUUAACCGGGAAGAAACCCCAGGACGUGUCCUGGGUUGACGGUACCGGAGGAAUAAGCACCGGCUAACUUCGUGCCAGCAGCCGCGGUAAUACGAAGGGUGCAAGCGUUAUCCGGAUUCAUUGGGUUUAAAGGGUGCGUAGGCGGAGCGUUAAGUCAGUGGUGAAAUCCUGCAGCUUAACUGUAGACUUGCCAUUGAUACUGGCGCUCUUGAGUGCGCUUGAAGUGGGCGGAAUGUGCAGUGUAGCGGUGAAAUGCUUAGAUAUGGCACAGAACACCAAUUGCGAAGGCAGCUCACUAAGGCGAUACUGACGCUGAGGCACGAAAGCGUGGGGAUCGAACAGGAUUAGAAACCCUAGUAGUCC